rnacentral:rRNA from 1 species
CACAGGUGCUGCAUGGCUGUCGUCAGCUCGUGUCGUGAGAUGUUGGUUAAGUCCCGCAACGAGCGCAACCCUCACUUUUAGUUGCCAUCGUUUAGUUGGGCCUCUGAAAGAAAUGCCAGUGAUAAGCUGGAGGAAGGUGGGGAUGACGUCAAGUCCUCAUGGCCCUUACGUGUUGGGCUACACACGUGCUACAAUGGCAUUUACAACAGGAAGCAAAACGGCGACGUUAAGCAAAUCCUAAAAAAAUGCCUCAGUUCGGAUUGUACUCUGCAACUCGAGUACAUGAAGCUGGAAUUACUAGUAAUCACGAAUAGCGCGCCGCGGUGAAUACGUUCCCGGGUCUUGUACAA